rnacentral:rRNA from 1 species
GACAGAGGUGCAAACGUUGUUCGGAAUACUGGGCGUAAAGCGCGUGUAGGCGGCUAUGCAAGUCGGAUGUGAAAGCCCUCGGCUCAACCGGGGAAGUGCACCCGAAACUGCAAAGCUAGAGUCUCGGAGAGGAUCGUGGAAUUCUCGGUGUAGAGGUGAAAUUCGUAGAUAUCGAGAGGAACACCGGUGGCGAAGGCGGCGAUCUGGACGAUGACUGACGCUGAGACGCGAAAGCGUGGGAGCAACAGG